rnacentral:lncRNA from 1 species
CAGGUCUGCUUUCUUAUAUUCAGUCCAAGAGGACAUGUAGUCCGUAAAGAAGUGGAAGUGAUACAGUUACUCUUCACUUACACAGAAUUCCUCAAAAUAUCACCAGUGACAUCACACUACCAAAGAAAAGACAGUAUGAUGGAUGCUACUCUUCUAUGACAAGAAUUUUAACAGCCCUUCUUCAGCACUCAAUGCACACCCAAUUAUGCGUCUGAGCUAGUAACCUUGAAUUUAUGUUGCCAUGGCGACAAACUGGUCAUGCAUUAUGGAUUAUCAUUGAAAUUCUACACCCCUACCUAGCAUAAUGAGAGUUGGGGACUUAAUCAAAUCAGCCAUUCUGUGUGACACAAAGUGAAGAACUAG